rnacentral:lncRNA from 1 species
CUACAUUGAACUCUUUUGUAGAGACUCUUGUUGAUAGUCCUAAAAUCAGCCAUGGUGAAGAUUUCUGGAGAAGCCCAGUUAAGACUUUUCAGUGGAGAAAGGGGGUGCCACUUCAAUGGCCCCAUCAGAACUGCUCAGACUUUUCCUCCUUGCCAGCCCUGGGCCUCAGCAUGCUUCCUUGAUCCUUCCAAUAUUACCCUGAUAUGAUCAGAGUCCUCCUGCUAAGCUCAUGUUCACUUCUUAUCAGAGGUAAAAACUGAACACGAUGAUCUGUUCCUAGGGUAAGUUCCAAGAACUGAAAACACAGUCCUCAUAGGAUCAUAUAACUUUUCAAUUUUCCAACUGUUGAAAAUAGUAUCAGUUCUGACUCUGCUGUCCCUGGUUGUUCUGUGAAUGUACCUAACCAACUUCCCUUACACUAAGAGGCAUGCUGCAGAGCACACUGGCUAAAAUUACCCCAUGGGAGCCACCUGUUUAAUUCCUUUUCUGCUGUGUCUCAAAUCUCAGAUCACUUACAGUUCCCUAAAUUCUUUUUCAUGGAAAAAGUUAUUUUUCCAUCUAUUUUUGGAGGUUAAAAUUUGCCUUUUAAAUGUGGUUUCUUAAAAAAUUAAGUCCAAUAGUUUGCUCUGGCAAGUAUCUAAUAUGAAGGCAAGACAGAAAGUUGGAGAAUCAAAUAUUUAGCCAGAUAAUAGGCUAAAAAAUAAUUCAGACAACUCUGCUGAAGGCUUAAAUUGAUUUUUUCUUAACAUGUUGGAUUGGUUGGUUUUCUUAAUGUCUCAUAGAUAUAACUAACCACAACAAUAUUUUGGUUUCAACUAAGAUUUUUGAAAUAGGACUGCUCAAAAAAAUAUUUAACAGUACUGAGUAUAAACUAAUGAGAAAAAUUAAAAUAUUGAGCUCUUUAUAGCAGUUUUUCUGGUCUAAAUAGGGUGGAUCCAUUGAAUGUAACAUGAUAGAGACAUCUGGAAUAAUAAUGGUAAUAAUAACAAUGGUCAUUGGAAUGUUUAUUAUAUGCAGAGUAUUAUUAAUUAUUUCAUUUAUUUCCUUUAAUUCUUACAAAAUCCACCUAAGAAAGUAUAACUGCUCAUUUUUAAGAAACUGAAAUAAAGAAUGUAAGUAUUCUUAAGUUUCUUACUAUUAGAAUGCUAAGUUCUCUUGCAGAAUCUACGUGGAGGGAAAGAAUUCAUUCAGACAAGAGUAGCCCUCUUGGCCAUUUUUCCUGAGGGGACCUCUACAUUUUUGUUCCCCCUCUUGCCUGUUUUUCUUGUCAACUCACUGGGUGCACACAAUUUGGAGUGUGUGGGGCGGGGAGGAACAGUCUUCUAAGUGUUUAGGGUGAAACUGGGUGAAGUGAAGGUGAAGGUGAAGGUCAGGUUCAUUCCCAGAAGGUGCAGAGAACCGACUGAGAUUUAUGCCUGCAAAGGGAGAACAAAGAAAAUAAGAUGUACAUCCAAUUAACAUGGCAGAGAGGUGGGGAGUCAGGGAGGCAGGAAAAGUACAUACAUUUCCUAUUGCUGCUAUAAUAAAUCACCGCAAAUUCAGUGCAUUACAACAAUAUAAACCUCCUUUCUUUUAGUUCUAGAUGACAGACAUCUGAAAUGGGACUCACAGGGCUAAAACCAAGGAUUCUGCAGGUCUGUGUUCCUCUCUGGUGACUCUCUGAGGGAAUCUAUUUUUUUUUUUACUUCAUUUUCUAGAAACAAAUCUACUUCCUUAAUAGCUUUAACGUUGUUAAAGGUCUUUUAGCAACAGGAAAGCUUGAUCCUGAUCUCUGCGCUGUGGAGAUGGGUAGGAGAGAGAAGAGUGGAAUGAGUUACUAGUUACUAUCAUAUGCCUGUCCCAAUGGAACUCUAUUCCACCAAAGUUAGACAUAGACUGACUGUUUGUUCACCAAAAUUUAUUUCCUCUCACUAAAUAUAUGGUUAAACCAU